rnacentral:tRNA from 1 species
GGCCUCGUGGCCUAAUGGUUAAGGCGCCAGAUUUCGGCUGCGAAAAUCUCUGGAGAUUCGGGGUUCGAAUCCUCGCGGGGUCG